UACCAGCACCCCGAGUGGUCGGGACGAUUAUUGGGCCUAAAGCAUCCGUAGCCGGUUUUACAAGUCCUCUGUUAAAUCCAGCUGCUUAACAGAUGGGCUGCGGAGGAUACUAUAAGACUAGGAGGCAGGAGAGGCAAGCGGUACUCAGUGGGUAGGGGUAAAAUCCGUUGAUCCAUUGAAGACCACCAGUGGCGAAGGCGGCUUGCCAGAAUGCGCUCGACGGUGAGGGAUGAAAGCUGGGGGAGCAAACGGG
rnacentral:rRNA from 1 species